rnacentral:lncRNA from 1 species
CUUUAUAUCCUACUGUUUUAUGAUUAUUCAUCAUUACUCCUUGGUAGAUGUUACUUUGAAGUGUCAUUCAUAGCUUUAAUACCACUUCAUUCUUUCAUCUGCCAAUCUUUCAUUUCAUUCAUUCUAAAAGGUCAAUUUGACUUUUAGUAAAGUCUUUAGUGAAUUGAAAGUACAUAGGAAAAAAAGAGAAUGAUAAGAGAGCAGAAUAACAGGGUUAGAAACAUCUUGAAAAUGUUGGAAAAAAAUCAUCAAUGAAUGAUAUUCUUGGAGGGAGAAGAGG